AAGCCUACACUGCUCCAAGAGGCUGGGCGCCUCCUGCCGCGGUCCUGCUAACCCGGCGGGCAGAACAAGGGCAUACCAAUGACCACUAAGUUGAGGAGCUGCUUCCCGCCCUGCCGCUUUUCCAAUUCCGCUUUCACGUCUAUCUGCUGCCUCAGCUUGCCAGACUUUCUCACUGGUGUCGGAGUGGAGCCCAGCUCUUCUGAUGUUUGAAGGGAAGGAGGUGGGAGGGCAGAUUUUGGAGUGCCGGUCUCAGGAAUGUUAGGAGAAGCUACGCUCACAUCAUCACCAGGAGGCCCUUUGUGAGGAGCGCGCACACUGAGUCCAUUUUCCUCAGAAGUUAAGCUGCAGAAAGAUGAGAAAAACUGUGAGAAAGUCAUUUCAGACACUGCCCAACUGAGUCAGGGGGCAGGGGUAUCUCUUGGCAACCCCUGAUAUUCUGGGUCUCAGGUCUGUCAAGCUGGAAAAGAGAAGUGACCAGAGCCAAUCCACACAAACGAACACUGGGAACCCUAGGUGUCUACUAAACAUGAAGACUCCGCCCUGGCAGACAGCAGGCAGCAACGCUGCUGCAUCCUAAGAGGAUUUCCCAAGGCAUCUUCUCUUUGGUCCCACUGUGUCCUGAUUGCACCUCCUCAAAAUGACAGACAUGUUUUCCCAAGAAAACUGAAUCAGGGUCAUUCUAAACUAAAAACCCUGAGUCAUGCACCUCUAGGAAAUGCAAACGUGUUGCCCACAUCUGAUGCGGAGAUGCAGAUGGACUGGAUAACACAGACACAACUGCAAGCAUGAGAACCCAAGUCCGGAUCCUAAGCACCCAUGUAAAAGCCAGUGUAGGUGUAUAUAUGAAGAGACUCUGAGAACAUUACGGAGUACUUAAGCUUCUUCACUGAAUUCAACCACUUCCUCUGAAAAAACUCCCACAUAACAGUAAGCACAAAGCCAAUUCAUUCUCAGUUAUCUUUACAAGAUGUAUACAUUCUUCUUAUUGUUUGAAUAAAAAUACUCAGUAAAGGAUC